GCUGUAGUAGAAACUGAUUAUGCACAUGUCCUCAAUGCCAAGGAGCAGAAAAUGCUUCAUUUAAAUUGUAGUUCUCAAUACAAACAAUAAAGGUCUUGUGAAUCUUGUCAUCCUGUGGCUACUUCAGUGUUUAUUCAUGCAAUUUUGGUUGGUUUGUCUUCCAAUGGAUAUCUGUAUUGGUUUAGGACAAUGAAGUUGCUGUUUUUGGCUCUCUAUCCCUAAUUUAAGGUCAACUU
rnacentral:misc_RNA from 1 species